rnacentral:hammerhead_ribozyme from 1 species
AUCCAGAUGACGAGUCCCAAAUAGGACGAAAUGCUCGUCCUGAAU